UAUAAAGUAGCAAAUUAUCGUUCCUGAAUAGGUGGCGCCGUGGUAGCCGAUCCUGUUCCUCAACUUCCUGUUUCUGCACUGUGCAACUAUUUCAGUUACAUUUUAAAUUAACGAUGCCAAGUACUUGUUGUUGUGUACCUGGAUGUCAUUUAAGAGAAGGACAUGCAUUUCCAAAUGACUUAAAAAGAAGGAAAAGUUGGAUCAACGCCAUGGCCCAAACGCAGAUUGGACGAGAACACGAUUUCAUCGUGGAGUCCAUCUCAAUCAGCUGUUGUUUGCAAGGCACAUUUUACUGAAAAAGACUACGUGCAGGAAACUAUUCAUGGGCGCAAACCCACCAUACAGAGACCUAAGUCUACUGCCAUUCCCAGCCUAUUUUCCUGGACCAAGCAAGAGACUGAAUCGUCCGCAAAAAGAAAAAUCAGGGCAGUUUCCUGUGAAAACAAAAGAACUAAACUUGAUGAAUAUUGUAGUAGAAAUCUAGAGGAAAGUUUUGAUUGUAAAGUUGGUUUUCCUGAAGAAGUCAUUCAUACUGCAGAAAGGAUUUAUGACUGUCCACCACCAACUGCUGAGCUAAUGUUGAGCUUCAAAGAUGGAAGUACGCAAACACCAUCAAUGUCUAUGUUUUCAGCAGAGAAUUUUGAAAUGAAGACACGUGACACAGCCAUGCAUUUUUAUACCAUUUAAGAGUUGUAUACUAAAUUUUUAUUUGUUUUGACCACACUUGGUCCAACAGCACAUUGUUUGAGAUACAUAUAUUUUCAAAUUGAUAGGGCGUCAGUUGAAAAUCAGUUUUUUUAUGACUUUGAUGAAAUUGAGGCAUUAUACAACCAACUUUGAACUUUCUAGAUUCUAGAUUGAAUCUAGUGUUAAGAAUAUUGUGUAUAUACAUGGAUUGUUUUUAUGCCUAAACAGUGGUGUGAGGCUAACACUUGGCCAUCUAGUGGGUUAGUCAGGCAUUUUUCGCCAUCCAACUUCAAAUUAAAGUUUCCUAAGACUUGGAUUAUUAUUGACAGCACAGAAUAUCCCGUGAUAAAACUAAAGCUCCUAGAGCUCAGGCAACCUUUUCAUCAUAUAAAAACAGAAACACUGAAAAUACUUGUAUGUUCGACGCCUGGUGGUUUAGUCAACUAUGUCUCUACUGCAUAUGUUGGUUCUACCAGUGACUAUGAAAUAGUUGAAAGAUGUAGAAUACAAAAUGUAGUUCAGUUAUGUGAUCCAGGUGACAGUGUGAUGGCAGACAAAGGUUUAAAUGUGCAAGAUUUGUUUGCUAACUUUUUUCAAAAAAAGAAACAGAAUUAGUUCCAAAACUCUUAUACGGGAUAGAAAAGUCUCCAAUUAACAUGUGCACAUAGAGCGAAUUAUUGGACUUGGCAAAACAUACAAAAUUCUAACAAAUCCUACAUGUAUGAAUGGAACUGAAACAAAACUUUCAUCUGAAAUAACAUUUAGUUGUUUUAUGUUGUGUAAUUUUAAAACUUGUAUUGUGCCAAAGGAUGCAGAAAUAAAAGUGACGCAAUGAA